UACGAGGACCCCGAGCAUUAUCCGGAAUGACUGGGCGUAAAGGGUGAGUAGCCGGUUGUAUUAGUCUGACGUUAAAUUUCGAGGCUUAACUUCGAAGCUGCGUUGGAAACGGUACGACUAGAGCGGGUAAGAGGCAAGCGGAACGUGCAGUGUAGGGGUGAAAUCCAUUGAUAUUGCACGGAACACCAAAAGCGAAGGCAGCUUGCUAGUGCUCUGCUGACGGUAAAUCACGAAAGCGUGGGGAUCAAAAAGG
rnacentral:rRNA from 1 species